rnacentral:rRNA from 1 species
UACGUAGGGUGCGAGCGUUGUCCGGAAUUAUUGGGCGUAAAGAGCUCGUAGGCGGUGUGUCGCGUCGGCCGUGAAAACCUGCAGCUUAACUGUGGGCUUGCGGUCGAUACGGGCAUCACUGGAGUUCGGCAGGGGAGACUGGAAUUCCUGGUGUAGCGGUGAAAUGCGCAGAUAUCAGGAGGAACACCGGUGGCGAAGGCGGGUCUCUGGGCCGAUAUCGACGCUGAGGAGCGAAAGCGUGGGGAGCGAACAGG